rnacentral:rRNA from 1 species
GACGAACGCUGGCGGCGUGCCUAAUACAUGCAAGUAGGACGCAGUUGCGAACGGGUGAGUAACGCGUAGGUAACUACCUAUUAGAGGGGGAUAACUAUUGGAAACGAAACCCAAACCCGAAUACAAGUAAGUGGACUGGCGUUGAAUUAGCUAGUAGGUAGGGUAAUGGCCUACCUAGGCAACGAUAAAGAGCCGAACUGAGAGGGUGAUCGGCAACACGGGGAAUGAGACACGGCCCAGAAUCCUACGGGAGGCAGCAGUAGGGAAUCUUCGGUAAUGGGGGGAACUCUGACCGAGCAACGCCGCGUGAGUGAAGAAGGUUUUCGGAUCGUAAAGCUCUGUUGUUAAGGAAGCGGUACUUAACCAGAAAGGGACGGCUAACUACGUGCCAGCAGCCGCGGUAAUAC